CCUACGGGAGGCAGCAGUGGGGAAUAUUGCACAAUGGGGGAAACCCUGAUGCAGCAACGCCGCGUGAGUGAAGAAGUAUUUAGGUAUGUAAAGCUCUAUCAGCAAGGGAGAAAAAAGACGGUACCUGACUAAGAAGCCCCGACUAACUACGUGCCAGCAGCCGCGGUAAUACGUAGGGGGCAAGCGUUAUCCGGAUUUACUGGGGGUAAAGGGAGCGUAGACGGCUGUGCAAGUCUGAAGUGAAAGCCCGUGGCUCAACCGCGGAACUGCUGUGGAAACUGUAUGGCUUGAGUACUGUAGAGGUAGGCGGAAUUCCUAGUGUAGCGGUGAAAUGCUUAGAUAUUAGGAGGAACACCAGUGGCGAAGGCGGCCUGCUGGACAGACACUGACGUUGAGGCUCGAAAGCGUGGGGAGCAAACAGGAUUAGAUACCCGAGUAGUC
rnacentral:rRNA from 1 species